rnacentral:rRNA from 1 species
CAAAAAGACAGUCUCAGUUCAGAUUGUAGGCUGAAACUCGCCUAUAUGAAGUCGGAAUUGCUAGUAAUCGCAGAUCAGCAUGCUGCGGUGAAUACGUUCCCGGGUCUUGUACACACCGCCCGUCACACCAUGGGAGCCGGAAAUGCCCGAAGUCAGUGACCCAACCGCAAGGAGGGAGCUGCCGAAGGUGGAGCUGGUAACUGGGGUGAAGUCGUAACAAGGUAUC